GGAGUUAGCCGGUUCUUCUUCUGUGAGUGAUGUCCUUCCUGCCGGCUAUUAACCCGCAGGCCUUCUUCCUCACUGAAAGUGCUUUACAACCCGAAGGCCUUCUUCACACACGCGGCAUGGCUGGAUCAGGGUUGCCCCCAUUGUCCAAUAUUCCCCACUGCUGCCUCCCGUAGGAGUCUGGGCCGUGUCUCAGUCCCAGUGUGGCUGAUCAUCCUCUCAGACCAGCUACGGAUCGUCGCCUUGGUGAGCCGUUACCUCACCAACCAGCUAAUCCGACAUAGGCUCAUCCGAUAGCGCGAGGCCCGAAGGUCCCCCGCUUUCCCCCCGUAGGGCGUAUGCGGUAUUAGCCUGGGUUUCCCCCAGGUUAUCCCCCACUACCGGGCAGAUUCCUAUGCAUUACUCACCCGUCCGCCGCUCGCCACCAGGGAGCAAGCUCCCCGUGCUGCCGCUCGACUUGCAUGUGUUAGGCCUGCCGCCAGCGUUCAAUCUGAGCCAUGAUCAAACUCUGA
rnacentral:rRNA from 1 species